rnacentral:lncRNA from 1 species
AAACAGCUCACCGGGCUUAAUGAAGUAGCACUCGCUUGAUCACCUCACCAACUGCAGCUCUUCUCCUUUUCCUUCCUUAUGGAUGCUCCAGCUUCACUCUUCUUCGUGUGUGCCCCAUUGCUUCUCCUCAUCGCCAUGCUCUGACUCCACCAGGAUCCCAAGGAAUGUCACCUCAAACCUGGUCAGCAUGUAGUAAACAGUGCAGUAGCAAAAGCCUGAAAUAGGACUCACACAAACAACUAUAAGUGAUACGGUCGAUGCCCUCCAAGUCAUCAAUGGUAUAUCCAAUUAUAUAAGCAUAACUAUAAAGCACAUGUUUAGGAUGGCAGAAAUCAGCAUGGUCAAUACUCACACGAGGAUGACAUUUAUCAUUAAGCUCAAGACUAGCAUGGAAAUGAUGUGUUUCAUUAAGCAUAGGACUAGCACGAGGAAAGUAACUAUGAUCAUCGCAAAUGAGAGUAAUGCCACUAACAGGGUAUAUAUCAUCAUAUCCAAGCAAAUGAGUUUUCAAAUCAAUCUUAAGUGAUGGUAUCAUGUAAUGCAAGGUGGUAGCAAAGAAAUCACAAGGCAUCAUGUCAUCAAGAGGAUUGAGUAAACCUGACACAUCACGCUCUGGUAUGACAAUAGGCAAAUGAAUCUCAUGUUCUUCAUCUUCAUCUACAGCAGCUUCUUGUACUUCUUCAGGAGUAAUAGAUGAUGAGUCUUCAACUUGAUCACUUGGGAAUUGCAGCUCUUGACCAUCUUGUUCCUUGUCUUCUAGUUCAUCUUCUUCAAUCUGAGGUAUCUCUUGCUCAAGGCACUUGCUAUCUUGCUCAACGAAAUGUGAAGGUGCUGGAACCUCACAUGUAACCAUGGAUAUCUCAGCCACACUCAACUCAAGUUGUGAAGAAAUAGUGCUGCCAGCGUUGAUGUUCUUCUCAAUCUUCCUUACUUCUUCCACUAGCUCUUUUCCACUCUUGAUCUUCUUCAUUUCAUCUAGUAUAACCUUCCUAAUAGGAUCAUCCUCGGCACUCCAACUAAACUCGAGACUAAGCAAUGUGAUCUUUCUAUAUCAUCAAAUUCAUCUUGUGUGGGCACUUGCACAUGAGAUUGCUCGAAAGGUGCUGGAGUUGUUGGUUGACCAAAUGGAGGACCAUUUAACUCCAUUGGACACAUCUCCUGGUAUUGAGGUAUAUGAGUAGGAGGUGAAUAAAUCUAUUGUGGAGCAUAGUUGUGGUUCUCCUCAUUGUACCUGAAUCCCUGCAUUGGAUAACUAGAGGCAAACGAUGAGAUCUCAGGGUUAUUGCUCCUAUAUGACAUAUUCUGGUUUUUAGACCACCCAUGUGUGUAAUUGUUUUGGUAUGAGUUAGGCAGUGGGGCGAAGCUCAUGCCAUAACAAUCGGGAGGAUGGGAGUAACCACACUGACAUUCAGCGGGCGAAUGGCCCUGAAAUCCACAAAUAUGGCAGGUAGGAGCAACAUAAGGAUGGCCUCUGGAAUUAGGAUUGUAAGAACUAGGCCUAUCCUCAAAAACUCCUUCUUGCUGUCGAGCUAAAUCAUCUAAUCGAUGGGAAAUCUUACCUAUCAGUUCUUAAACACUUUCCGUGUUGUUUGUAGUGUUGCUCGCAUAAGCCUGAUGAUCUGAAUAGUAAGCCAUAACCGAGAGGAUAAUCCAACCUGCAAAAAGGAAAAGAAGACAAAAAGAUACUAACUAGAACAGGGGUUAGUGGCUAGAGAUAUAUCACAAAUAUAUAAAGCACAAAAAGGAAACAAGCUAAACCUAGUCUAAAGCCUAGCACAAUCGCUCGAUGCUAGUCCCCGGCAACGGUGCCAAAAUGAUCAGUUGAAAGUACAGUGGGGUUUUUACGCCCAAACUGCGAGUGUCGUGUUCUCCUCAGGGACUAGGCGACGACGACUAUGCUCGACUAAAGCUAGGUGACAGAAUACAAAUGAUGAUUGCAAGGAAAUAAACCUAAACUAAACAUGGUAGUUCCUAAAGAUCAUCGCCAAAGAAAAUGCAAAAUAAGCAAAGAGAUAUUCAGAUUUUCUAUACUCUCUUUUUGGCAAUUUCCAUAUUACUCAAAGAAUUUAAUGCUAACACAAGAAAACAUACGGCUAGGAAAUUAAAAAGACAAGAACAUAUAUAUAACUAUCUAACAUGAACAGUGGGAAGAAACAAGAACUUGAGCUAAUACAUGGACUACAAAACUGAAUAUAUUUCUGCAGAAAAGGGAAGACACUGUGACGACACAUACAUGAACUGGAAUUACGUAAAUUCAGUGCAAGUGACAAGCAUACAUGUACCACACGGUUGACAAAUAUAACAUUCACGAACUUAUUUUAUAUAGAUGCAUGAACUAGUCAGAUCCCAGCAAACAGCUGUUUACAUGUACUCUUCAAAUCUGAACCUUACAAGUCUUGAACAUCUCUCAAUACUAUAGAAUUUCAGAGAGAGAGAGAGAGAGAAGGCAACAGCAGGAGGUUGAGAGAGAAGAAGCAGUAGCAGGGGGCGUUGAGAGGAGGGAGAAGGAGCAGCGGGGCAAAGGAAGAUGGAGUAGCAGCAACGACUUGGAGUUUGGAGAUGGAGAAGGAGCAGAACAACAGCGUGGUAGGGGAAAGUAGAAGAGCAGCAGCAAUAGGGAUUCAGAGAGGAGGCGAGCUUGGAGAAGGAUAGCAGCAGGGAGAGUUGUAGAUGAGCAGCAGCAGUAGCGCGGGGGAGAAGGAGCAGCAGACAGGGAUUCAGAGAAGCGAGGAAGAAGGGAAGAAGAAGCAGCGGCGGUGUGUCUGGCCGGGCACGCCAGCUGGAGGGAGAGGUCGCGCGAGGUGGGCACUGGUGGUUGGCGCUGUGAUGGAUGGAUGAUGGUGUGGGUGGUGGAUGGCGCGGGUGAUGGUGGAGCAACGAGGUCGCCGAAGCGCGUCGCCACGAUGGCCUGGCCGCGGCGGCGGCCGGAGGUGGGAGAAGAAGUGGUGAGGGGGAGAGAGAUGGAGAUGCCAGCUCCCUUUGGGAAUGGAGGCUGCUAGGGAUUUUGAUCCCCUCCGAUCAGAUCUGAAUGUUUUCACUUUGGCCCUCCUCCUUCCUUCUUUUGGCACAAGAUGUUCCCUCCACUUCUUAAGCUAGCCCCCCUAAGCUUUAAUCUUCUUCAAGCUUGAGUCCCUCUUUCUUCUCUUCUUGCCCGUGAUCUUGUUCCUCAAUUCUUUCUAGACAGGAACUUGUAGAUUAUAGUGCCUUGUCGCACUUUUCUGCAAAAGAAACACAAUGACUAGUAAAUGAUUCAUUAUAUGAUUUCCAUGCAAAUAUUCAAUAUUUCACAUCAAGAAUUAAUGGUCAUAUCUCAAUAAACCGCAUAUUUGAGUGCCAAAAGAUGUAUAUGAAAUGUGCUUAUCAAGUUCCCCCACACUUAAAUCUUUGCUUGUCCUCAAGCAAAGGCAUAUGACAAAAGCAAGAACAUGAACAGUGAACUGACUAGAGAAUGUCAAGUGAAGUAGAUCUCUAAACAAUGCAUGCUUUGGACUUGGCUAGUGAAAAUUAAUGGUUAAGAGUGCUACAUAUCAAUAGGACACUAGUAAACUCGACCAUUUUAAACUUUUGCAAUGAUAAACGAAGAUUAGCAAGUUCAAAUGCUGAUUGUGCCAAAGGGUUCCUAAAGAGAGCAUGAUCCCAAAAAAAAACUUAUUACCCGGAACAUAACAUUAUGGUAGAAGCACUUAUUGAAUUUGAAGGAAGUAAUGGUAAUAUUUUAUUGAUCUCACCAAUGGAACAUACCACCGAUCCCAAGAACAUGGUAUACACCCGGCUUGGCCAAUUAUUAGUUUUUUUUAGUUUGUCUCCCCAAAGGAACAUACCACCGAUCCCGAGAACAUGGUGUACACCUGGUUCGACAAUUACAUUUCUAUAAUUAUUAAUUACUGCCCAAGCUAACCUGAUUUCACAUGCCACCGAUCCCGGGAACAUGACAUGCUACUGUAGGUAGCCAGACUUAUUUAUUCAUUAUUACUUAUCUUAAAUGAACAACACAUAAGAACAAAAACAGGAAUCAUCACUUCUCCAUGUCUGGUUCACAUGCUACCGAUCCAGGGAACAUAGCAUGCUAAUCCAUAGUGGUUAGGUGAUUGCUCUCAAUGGGAAGACACUUGGCACAAAUUCAGCAUCUAAACAUGGUGAUCUAGGUGUAUCAUAGUAAAUGCAGAAAAUGACGAAGUUUUCUAGUGUACUAGGGAUUUGAGCACUCAAAACUAGUAGUUCUCACUAAUUUUAGCAAAGCAUGCAUGGUGUAGAUCACUAGUUUACAAGGCAUCCAAAAAUCAAGUUCACAAAUUCACAUCAAGCACAAUGCCAAAGGUGAGAUUCAGCUUGACAACAAGUAAUAACUGGCUCAAGCAACCCAACUAGCAAUUGAAUUCAGCAUGUAUUUAUGAUAUUCAGAAUGGGUCAUGAAACAGCUCACCGGGCUUAAUGAAGUAGCACUCGCUUGAUCACCUCACCAACUGCAGCUCUUCUCCUUUUCCUUCCUUAUGGAUGCUCCAGCUUCACUCUUCUUCGUGUGUGCCCCAUUGCUUCUCCUCAUCGCCAUGCUCUGACUCCACCAGGAUCCCAAGGAAUGUCACCUCAAACCUGGUCAGCAUGUAGUAAACAGUGCAGUAGCAAAAGCCUGAAAUAGGACUCACACAAACAACUAUAAGUGAUACGGUCGAUGCCCUCCAAGUCAUCAAUGGUAUAUCCAAUUAUAUAAGCAUAACUAUAAAGCACAUGUUUAGGAUGGCAGAAAUCAGCAUGGUCAAUACUCACACGAGGAUGACAUUUAUCAUUAAGCUCAAGACUAGCAUGGAAAUGAUGUGUUUCAUUAAGCAUAGGACUAGCACGAGGAAAGUAACUAUGAUCAUCGCAAAUGAGAGUAAUGCCACUAACAGGGUAUAUAUCAUCAUAUCCAAGCAAAUGAGUUUUCAAAUCAAUCUUAAGUGAUGGUAUCAUGUAAUGCAAGGUGGUAGCAAAGAAAUCACAAGGCAUCAUGUCAUCAAGAGGAUUGAGUAAACCUGACACAUCACGCUCUGGUAUGACAAUAGGCAAAUGAAUCUCAUGUUCUUCAUCUUCAUCUACAGCAGCUUCUUGUACUUCUUCAGGAGUAAUAGAUGAUGAGUCUUCAACUUGAUCACUUGGGAAUUGCAGCUCUUGACCAUCUUGUUCCUUGUCUUCUAGUUCAUCUUCUUCAAUCUGAGGUAUCUCUUGCUCAAGGCACUUGCUAUCUUGCUCAACGAAAUGUGAAGGUGCUGGAACCUCACAUGUAACCAUGGAUAUCUCAGCCACACUCAACUCAAGUUGUGAAGAAAUAGUGCUGCCAGCGUUGAUGUUCUUCUCAAUCUUCCUUACUUCUUCCACUAGCUCUUUUCCACUCUUGAUCUUCUUCAUUUCAUCUAGUAUAACCUUCCUAAUAGGAUCAUCCUCGGCACUCCAACUAAACUCGAGACUAAGCAAUGUGAUCUUUCUAUAUCAUCAAAUUCAUCUUGUGUGGGCACUUGCACAUGAGAUUGCUCGAAAGGUGCUGGAGUUGUUGGUUGACCAAAUGGAGGACCAUUUAACUCCAUUGGACACAUCUCCUGGUAUUGAGGUAUAUGAGUAGGAGGUGAAUAAAUCUAUUGUGGAGCAUAGUUGUGGUUCUCCUCAUUGUACCUGAAUCCCUGCAUUGGAUAACUAGAGGCAAACGAUGAGAUCUCAGGGUUAUUGCUCCUAUAUGACAUAUUCUGGUUUUUAGGCCACCCAUGUGUGUAAUUGUUUUGGUAUGAGUUAGGCAGUGGGGCGAAGCUCAUGCCAUAACAAUCGGGAGGAUGGGAGUAACCACACUGACAUUCAGCGGGCGAAUGGCCCUGAAAUCCACAAAUAUGGCAGGUAGGAGCAACAUAAGGAUGGCCUCUGGAAUUAGGAUCGUAAGAACUAGGCCUAUCCUCAAAAACUCCUUCUCGCUGUCGAGCUAAAUCAUCUAAUCGAUGGGAAAUCUUACCUAUCAGUUCUUAAACACUUUCCGUGUUGUUUGUAGUGUUGCUCGCAUAAGCCUGAUGAUCUGAAUAGUAAGCCAUAACCGAGAGGAUAAUCCAACCUGCAAAAAGGAAAAGAAGACAAAAAGAUACUAACUAGAACAGGGGUUAGUGGCUAGAGAUAUAUCACAAAUAUAUAAAGCACAAAAAGGAAACAAGCUAAACCUAGUCUAAAGCCUAGCACAAUCGCUCGAUGCUAGUCCCCGGCAACGGUGCCAAAAUGAUCAGUUGAAAGUACAGUGGGGUUUUUACGCCCAAACUGCGAGUGUCGUGUUCUCCUCAGGGACUAGGCGACAAUGACUAUGCUCGACUAAAGCUAGGUGACAGAAUACAAAUGAUGAUUGCAAGGAAAUAAACCUAAACUAAACAUGGUAGUUCCUAAAGAUCAUCGCCAAAGAAAAUGCAAAAUAAGCAAAGAGAUAUUCAGAUUUUCUAUACUCUCUUUUUGGCAAUUUCCAUAUUACUCAAAGAAUUUAAUGCUAACACAAGAAAACAUACGGCUAGGAAAUUAAAAAGACAAGAACAUAUAUAUAACUAUCUAACAUGAACAGUGGGAAGAAACAAGAACUUGAGCUAAUACAUGGACUACAAAACUGAAUAUAUUUCUGCAGAAAAGGGAAGACACUGUGACGACACAUACAUGAACUGGAAUUACGUAAAUUCAGUGCAAGUGACAAGCAUACAUGUACCACACGGUUGACAAAUAUAACAUUCACGAACUUAUUUUAUAUAGAUGCAUGAACUAGUCAGAUCCCAGAAAACAAACACUAUAUUAUACAAGUACUAAACAGAGCAAACAGCUGUUUACAUGUACUCUUCAAAUCUGAACCUUACAAGUCUUGAACAUCUCUCAAUACUAUAGAAUUUCAGAGAGAGAGAGAGAGAAGGCAACAGCAGGAGGUUGAGAGAGAAGAAGCAGUAGCAGGGGGCGUUGAGAGGAGGGAGAAGGAGCAGCGGGGCAAAGGAAGAUGGAGUAGCAGCAACGACUUGGAGUUUGGAGAUGGAGAAGGAGCAGAACAACAGCGUGGUAGGGGAAAGUAGAAGAGCAGCAGCAAUAGGGAUUCAGAGAGGAGGCGAGCUUGGAGAAGGAUAGCAGCAGGGAGAGUUGUAGAUGAGCAGCAGCAGUAGCGCGGGGGAGAAGGAGCAGCAGACAGGGAUUCAGAGAAGCGAGGAAGAAGGGAAGAAGAAGCAGCGGCGGUGUGUCUGGCCGGGCACGCCAGCUGGAGGGAGAGGUCGCGCGAGGUGGGCACUGGUGGUUGGCGCUGUGAUGGAUGGAUGAUGGUGUGGGUGGUGGAUGGCGCGGGUGAUGGUGGAGCAACGAGGUCGCCGAAGCGCGUCGCCACGAUGGCCUGGCCGCGGCGGCGGCCGGAGGUGGGAGAAGAAGUGGUGAGGGGGAGAGAGAUGGAGAUGCCAGCUCCCUUUGGGAAUGGAGGCUGCUAGGGAUUUUGAUCCCCUCCGAUCAGAUCUGAAUGUUUUCACUUUGGCCCUCCUCCUUCCUUCUUUUGGCACAAGAUGAUCCCUCCACUUCUUAAGCUAGCCCCCCUAAGCUUUAAUCUUCUUCAAGCUUGAGUCCCUCUUUCUUCUCUUCUUGCCCGUGAUCUUGUUCCUCAAUUCUUUCUAGACAGGAACUUGUAGAUUAUAGUGCCUUGUCGCACUUUUCUGCAAAAGAAACACAAUGACUAGUAAAUGAUUCAUUAUAUGAUUUCCAUGCAAAUAUUCAAUAUUUCACAUCAAGAAUUAAUGGUCAUAUCUCAAUAAACCGCAUAUUUGAGUGCCAAAAGAUGUAUAUGAAAUGUGCUUAUCAAGUUCCCCCACACUUAAAUCUUUGCUUGUCCUCAAGCAAAGGCAUAUGACAAAAGCAAGAACAUGAACAGUGAACUGACUAGAGAAUGUCAAGUGAAGUAGAUCUCUAAACAAUGCAUGCUUUGGACUUGGCUAGUGAAAAUUAACGGUUAAGAGUGCUACAUAUCAAUAGGACACUAGUAAACUCGACCAUUUUAAACUUUUGCAAUGAUAAACGAAGAUUAGCAAGUUCAAAUGCUGAUUGUGCCAAAGGGUUCCUAAAGAGAGCAUGAUCCCAAAAAAAACUUAUUACCCGGAACAUAACAUUAUGGUAGAAGCACUUAUUGAAUUUGAAGGAAGUAAUGGUAAUAUUUUAUUGAUCUCACCAAUGGAACAUACCACCGAUCCCGAGAACAUGGUAUACACCCGGCUUGGCCAAUUAUUAGUUUUUUUUAGUUUGUCUCCCCAAAGGAACAUACCACCGAUCCCGAGAACAUGGUAUACACCUGGUUCGACAAUUACAUUUCUAUAAUUAUUAAUUACUGCCCAAGCUAACCUGAUUUCACAUGCCACCGAUCCCGGGAACAUGACAUGCUACUGUAGGUAGCCAGACUUAUUUAUUCAUUAUUACUUAUCUUAAAUGAACAACACAUAAGAACAAAAACAGGAAUCAUCACUUCUCCAUGUCUGGUUCACAUGCUACCGAUCCAGGGAACAUAGCAUGCUAAUCCAUAGUGGUUAGGUGAUUGCUCUCAAUGGGAAGACACUUGGCACAAAUUCAGCAUCUAAACAUGGUGAUCUAGGUGUAUCAUAGUAAAUGCAGAAAAUGACGAAGUUUUCUAGUGUACUAGGGAUUUGAGCACUCAAAACUAGUAGUUCUCACUAAUUUUAGCAAAGCAUGCAUGGUGUAGAUCACUAGUUUACAAGGCAUCCAAAAAUCAAGUUCACAAAUUCACAUCAAGCACAAUGCCAAAGGUGAGAUUCAGCUUGACAACAAGUAAUAACUGGCUCAAGCAACCCAACUAGCAAUUGAAUUCAGCAUGUAUUUAUGAUAUUCAGAAUGGGUCAUGAAACAGCUCACCGGGCUUAAUGAAGUAGCACUCGCUUGAUCACCUCACCAACUGCAGCUCUUCUCCUUUUCCUUCCUUAUGGAUGCUCCAGCUUCACUCUUCUUCGUGUGUGCCCCAUUGCUUCUCCUCAUCGCCAUGCUCUGACUCCACCAGGAUCCCAAGGAAUGUCACCUCAAACCUGGUCAGCAUGUAGUAAACAGUGCAGUAGCAAAAGCCUGAAAUAGGACUCACACAAACAACUAUAAGUGAUACGGUCGAUGCCCUCCAAGUCAUCAAUGGUAUAUCCAAUUAUAUAAGCAUAACUAUAAAGCACAUGUUUAGGAUGGCAGAAAUCAGCAUGGUCAAUACUCACACGAGGAUGACAUUUAUCAUUAAGCUCAAGACUAGCAUGGAAAUGAUGUGUUUCAUUAAGCAUAGGACUAGCACGAGGAAAGUAACUAUGAUCAUCGCAAAUGAGAGUAAUGCCACUAACAGGGUAUAUAUCAUCAUAUCCAAGCAAAUGAGUUUUCAAAUCAAUCUUAAGUGAUGGUAUCAUGUAAUGCAAGGUGGUAGCAAAGAAAUCACAAGGCAUCAUGUCAUCAAGAGGAUUGAGUAAACCUGACACAUCACGCUCUGGUAUGACAAUAGGCAAAUGAAUCUCAUGUUCUUCAUCUUCAUCUACAGCAGCUUCUUGUACUUCUUCAGAAGUAAUAGAUGAUGAGUCUUCAACUUGAUCACUUGGGAAUUGCAGCUCUUGACCAUCUUGUUCCUUGUCUUCUAGUUCAUCUUCUUCAAUCUGAGGUAUCUCUUGCUCAAGGCACUUGCUAUCUUCCUCAACGAAAUGUGAAGGUGCUGGAACCUCACAUGUAACCAUGGAUAUCUCAGCCACACUCAACUCAAGUUGUGAAGAAAUAGUGCUGCCAGCGUUGAUGUUCUUCUCAAUCUUCCUUACUUCUUCCACUAGCUCUUUUCCACUCUUGAUCUUCUUCAUUUCAUCUAGUAUAACCUUCCUAAUAGGAUCAUCCUCGGCACUCCAACUAAACUCGAGACUAAGCAAUGUGAUCUUUCUAUAUCAUCAAAUUCAUCUUGUGUGGGCACUUGCACAUGAGAUUGCUCGAAAGGUGCUGGAGUUGUUGGUUGACCAAAUGGAGGACCAUUUAACUCCAUUGGACACAUCUCCUGGUAUUGAGGUAUAUGAGUAGGAGGUGAAUAAAUCUAUUGUGGAGCAUAGUUGUGGUUCUCCUCAUUGUACCUGAAUCCCUGCAUUGGAUAACUAGAGGCAAACGAUGAGAUCUCAGGGUUAUUGCUCCUAUAUGACAUAUUCUGGUUUUUAGGCCACCCAUGUGUGUAAUUGUUUUGGUAUGAGUUAGGCAGUGGGGCGAAGCUCAUGCCAUAACAAUCGGGAGGAUGGGAGUAACCACACUGACAUUCAGCGGGCGAAUGGCCCUGAAAUCCACAAAUAUGGCAGGUAGGAGCAACAUAAGGAUGGCCUCUGGAAUUAGGAUCGUAAGAACUAGGCCUAUCCUCAAAAACUCCUUCUCGCUGUCGAGCUAAAUCAUCUAAUCGAUGGGAAAUCUUACCUAUCAGUUCUUAAACACUUUCCGUGUUGUUUGUAGUGUUGCUCGCAUAAGCCUGAUGAUCUGAAUAGUAAGCCAUAACCGAGAGGAUAAUCCAACCUGCAAAAAGGAAAAGAAGACAAAAAGAUACUAACUAGAACAGGGGUUAGUGGCUAGAGAUAUAUCACAAAUAUAUAAAGCACAAAAAGGAAACAAGCUAAACCUAGUCUAAAGCCUAGCACAAUCGCUCGACGCUAGUCCCCGGCAACGGCGCCAAAAUGAUCAAUUGAAAGUACAGUGGGGUUUUUACGCCCAAACUGCGAGUGUCGUGUUCUCCUCAGGGACUAGGCGACGACGACUAUGCUCGACUAAAGCUAGGUGACAGAAUACAAAUGAUGAUUGCAAGGAAAUAAACCUAAACUAAACAUGGUAGUUCCUGAAGAUCAUCGCCAAAGAAAAUGCAAAAUAAGCAAAGAGAUAUUCAGAUUUUCUAUACUCUCUUUUUGGCAAUUUCCAUAUUACUCAAAGAAUUUAAUGCUAACACAAGAAAACAUACGGCUAGGAAAUUAAAAAGACAAGAACAUAUAUAUAACUAUCUAACAUGAACAGUGGGA